rnacentral:rRNA from 1 species
UACGAAGGGGCUAGCGUUGCUCGGAAUUACUGGGCGUAAAGGGAGCGUAGGCGGAUAGUUCAGUCAGAGGUGAAAGCCCAGGGCUCAACCUUGGAACUGCCUUUGAUACUGGCGUAUCUUGAGUUUGGGAGAGGUGUGUGGAACUCCGGAGUGUAGAGGUGAAAUUCGUAGAUAUUCGGAAGAACACCAGUGGCGAAGGCGACACACUGGCCCAAUACUGACGCUGAGGCUCGAAAGCGUGGGGAGCAAACAGGGAUUAAGAUACCC